AGUUCAGUAGCACCUUAGAGACCAACUAAAUUUGUUCUGGGUAUAAAGCUUAUACCUAGAACAAGCUUAGUUGGCCUCUGAGGUGCUACUGGACU